rnacentral:misc_RNA from 1 species
AGAAGAGGGAAAUGGGAAGGGGGGUGCGUCUUUUAUUGGUUCGACUUACAUGCUGCUAUAUCAGUCAACUUCUCGAAUGCGAAAACAAGGGCAGAAGCAACGAAUUAGAUUGACACCAAAGCUAAUAACACAUCCAAAGAACCCAGCUGACCUCUCUCUUCUUGGUGUCUGCACAACAGGCACACCAUAAACAGGGUUUGGAACUGUAUAUUGCUGGUAGGAUAAUUGGGUAGUCUCAAUUGGCAGUGUAGGACAAGCGGGAUUUGUUUCCACAACAAUUUCUUGAGAUGGCAACCGGAUUUGACCUUGAUAGCCUACUUCUGGAAGGUGCUGCACCCCAGGUGCAGUAAUGGUCUCAUUGGUCUGGUCAGGUACCAACCAUGGUGGCAGUGGUGGAGCAGAGGGUUGAACUGGAGUGGAGUAAGAGCAGCAACAGUGGCAUGGCGGUGGAGGAAGAUAAUAAGGUUCUUGAUGAGUCUUCUUUCUUCUCUUCUUUCUUGGCCAGAACUUCUUUAACUUCUUCACUGCUUUUAUCAUUUCUUGGUAACUCGAUGGUAUGGCUAGAGCAAAACUUGGUGGAAUUGGAGGUUCUGGAUUUUCCAAUUGUGAAUAUACAAAUAGCUAGAACGUUGGAUACAUUAGUACUUUUGAAAAGAGAACUUGAUUGUCGGUUGAAGGAUCAUGAAAGCAUUACAUAAAGCUUUUGCAAGAAUUCAACUUUAAGGUUACAAAAUUUUCAAAUCUUGUGACCGUUGCCCACCCACUU